GGGGGUGUAGCUCAGUGGUAGGGUGCAUGCUUAGCAUGCAUGAGGCCCUGGGUCAAUCCCCAGCACCUCCA
rfam:Gorilla gorilla gorilla genomic chromosome, chr1, whole genome shotgun sequence